rnacentral:rRNA from 1 species
ACUCAAAUGAAUAGACGGGGACUUGCACAAGCAGUGGAUUAUGCGGUUUAAUUCGAUGACAAACGAAAAACCUUACCAAGGUUAGAAAUCUACACGACGAUAUUUAGAAAUAGAUAUCUUCCGCAAGGACGGGUAGACAGGUGAUGCAUGGCCGUCGUCAGUUCGUGAUUUGAAUUGUUCCCUUAAGUGGGGUAACGAACGCAACCCUCGUUGCCAGUUACAAGUGUCUGGCGAGACUGCCCCGGUUUGUGUACAGGAGCGAAAGCUCGUGUGCAGAAACCGGGGAGGAAGGCGAGGAUGACGCCAGGUCAGCAUGUCCCUCUGAUACCUUGGGCCACACGCAUAAUACAAUCGCACAUACAACGGGUCGCGACGGAGUAAUCCUGAGCCAAUCCUAAGAAAGUGUGCGCCAGUUCGGAUUGGGGGCUGCAACUCGACCCCAUGAAGCCGGAAUUGCUAGUAAUCGCGGGUCAGCUAUACCGCGGUGAAUACGUUCUCAAGUCUUGUACACACCGCCCGU